rnacentral:rRNA from 1 species
AUCUAUGGCUCUACCACGCGGAGCGUGCCCGAUCUCUUCUGAUCUCAGAAGCUAAGCAGGGGCGGGCCUGGUUAGUGCUUGGAUGGGAGAAGACCACAGCAGAGAAACUGAAGGUU